CAGUAGCCGCGGUAAUACGAAGGGGGCUAGCGUUGUUCGGAUUUACUGGGCGUAAAGGGCGCGUAGGCGGACUGAUAAGUCAGGGGUGAAAUCUCAAGGCUCAACCUUGGAACUGCCUUUGAUACUGUUUGUCUUGAGUUCGAGAGAGGUAAGUAGAACUGCGAGUGUAGAGGUGAGAUUCGUAGAUAUUCGCAAGAACACCAGUGGCGAAGGCGGCUUACUGGCUCGAAACUGACGCUGAGGCGCGAAAGCGUGGGGAGCAAACAGGAUUAGAUACCCCGGUAGUCCCUGUCUCUUAUAC
rnacentral:rRNA from 1 species